GACGAACCGUGCAAACGUUGUUCGGAAUCACUGGGCUUAAAGGGCGCGUAGGCGGGCAAGCAAGUCCGGGGUGAAAUCUUUCGGCCCAACCGGAAAAGGGCCUUGGAUACUGCUUGUCUGGAGGGAGGUAGGGGCAGACGGAACUUCCGGUGGAGCGGUGAAAUGCGUUGAUAUCGGAAGGAACGCCGGUGGCGAAAGCGGCUCACUGGACCACAACUGACGCUGAGGCGCGAAAGCUAGGGGAGCAAACAGG
rnacentral:rRNA from 1 species